rnacentral:rRNA from 1 species
GAUGAACGCUGGCGGCGUGCCUAAUACAUGCAAGUCGAGCGAACAGACGAGGAGCUUGCUCCUCUGACGUUAGCGGCGGACGGGUGAGUAACACGUGGAUGACCUACCUAUAAGACUGGGAUAACUUCGGGAAACCGGAGCUAAUACCGGAUAAUAUAUUGAACCGCAUGGUUCAAUAGUGAAAGACGGUUUUGCUGUCACUUAUAGAUGGAUCCGCGCCGCAUUAGCUAGUUGGUAAGGUAACGGCUUACCAAGGCGACGAUGCGUAGCCGACCUGAGAGGGUGAUCGGCCACACUGGAACUGAGACACGGUCCAGACUCCUACGGGAGGCAGCAGUAGGGAAUCUUCCGCAAUGGGCGAAAGCCUGACGGAGCAACGCCGCGUGAGUAAUGAAGGUCUUCGGAUCGUAAAACUCUGUUAUUAGGGAAGAACAAAUGUGUAAGUAACUAUGCACGUCUUGACGGUACCUAAUCAGAAAGCCACGGCUAACUACGUG